rnacentral:lncRNA from 1 species
GAAAGGCCGAUGCCUAGUGAUGAACGGACUGAGUUCCAAUGAUGUUGUUGACUCCGGGCUUGUUGAGAGGCUUGGUUCCUUGCGGGGACUCGGAUUCUAUGGUGAUGAAUCUGGGAGUGGUGAUCCUGUAGUUGGUCACAAAAUGGUAUACGAGUCGUGUUGAGUCAUGCAUGGGUGUGUGCAUUGCAUUUGAUAUGUUGUUUUGUUGAUGUUCAUGAAUAUGUUGAUUAUGAUGAUUAUGAUGAGCUGUGUUAGCAUCUGUGAAAUAUAUUUAUGUUUA